UACGUAGGGUGCGAGCGUUGUCCGGAAGUUAUUGGGCUGGUAAAGGGACGUCGGUAGGCGGUCUGUCACGUCGGGGAGUGAAAACACGGGGCUUAACCCCGUGCCUGCUUCCGAUACGGGCAGACUAGAGGUAUGCAGGGGAGAACGGAAUUCCUGGUGUAGCGGUGAAAUGCGCAGAUAUCAGGAGGAACACCGGUGGCGAAGGCGGUUCUCUGGGCCGAAAUUGACGCUGAGGAGCGAAAGCGUGGGGAGCAAACAGG
rnacentral:rRNA from 1 species